GACGAACGCUGGCGGCGUGCUUAACACAUGCAAGUCGAACGGAAAGGCCCUGCUUUUGUGGGGUGCUCGAGUGGCGAACGGGUGAGUAACACGUGAGUAACCUGCCCUUGACUUUGGGAUAACUUCAGGAAACUGGGGCUAAUACCGGAUAGGAGCUCCUGCUGCAUGGUGGGGGUUGGAAAGUUUCGGCGGUUGGGGAUGGACUCGCGGCUUAUCAGCUUGUUGGUGGGGUAGUGGCUUACCAAGGCUUUGGCGGGUAGCCGGCCUGAGAGGGUGACCGGCCACAUUGGGACUGGGAUACGGCCCAGACUCCUACGGGAGGCAGCAGUGGGGAAUAUUGCACAAUGGGCGGAAGCCUGAUGCAGCAACGCCGCGUGCGGGAUGACGGCCAUCGGGUUGGAAACCGCUUUCGCCUGUGACGAAGCGUGAGUGACGGUAAUGGGUAAAGAAGCACCGGCUAACUACGUG
rnacentral:rRNA from 1 species